rnacentral:lncRNA from 1 species
UUGUCUUCUUGAGAUGGGCGUUCAUCAUUUGAAGAUGAUUUCUUGUAUACAUGCUUCAUCAACAAAUCCAAUUCCUUUCUCAUCCUCCUUCCACAAUUGAUGCACUAUGAGCAACUAAUAUUUCAUGUUUCUUUCUUUCAAACUCAUUCUGCAUAAGAAUAUGUUAAUUCAAGCCAUAAAAAGUGCUAAAAAUACAUUAUUAGCAUAAAUUAUAUGACAUUAUAGUAUCAAAUAAAAUCAUAACAAUCGACAAAUAUAAAUAUAUAUAUAUUAGCAUAUAAAGCAUCAAACUCAAAGUUGAUAUUUUCAAAUUAUUGUGACUAUCGUUAUGACUUGUUAUAUUAAGAUAACGUAGGAUGAAAUUAGAAGAAUAAGAGAACAAGAGGAAGGAUUCAAGUGGUGCCACGUAUCUAACACUUAAUGUGAAGAAAACUCUUUUCUUAUUUCUUAAAGCUCCGUACCCGGUCAAAUGGAUUAUACAAGGUACACUACAAUGGAUUAUACAUUGUCAAGGUACACUGCAAUGAAAAUUUUUUCAUAUAACCAAACAUAUUUAUUUUGUAACUAUACUUUAUUAUUUUCAAGUUAUUAGUACACAUUUCAAGUGACUAUUACUUAACCAUUUUUAAGUCAUAAGUUCACAAUUUCAUGUAACUACACUUAACCAUUUUCAAGUCACGAGUUCGCAAAUUCAAGUAACUACACUUAAUCAUUUUCAAGUCACUACACUUAAUAAUUUUCAAAUAACUUAUUCACAAUUCAAAUCACCAUUACACAUUUCAAGUCACUACACUCGAACCAUUUUCGAAUAGCUAAUUGACAUUUCAAGUCACCAUACUUAACCAUUUUCAAGAAACUACACUUCACCAUUUUCAAGUCACUAGUACACAUUUCAAGUCACUACACUUGACCAUUUUCAAGUAACUAAUUCACAUUUCAAGUCACUAUACUUAACCAUUUUCAAGUCACUAGUACACGUUUCAAAUCACUACACUUAAUCAUUUUCAAAUAAUUAAUUCACAUUUCAAGUCACUAUACUUAACCAUUUUUAAGUAACUACUUUACAUUUCAAAUAACUAUACUCAACCAUUUUCAAGUCACUAUACUUAAUCAAUUUCAAGUAACUAAUUCACAUUUCAAGCAACUACACUUUAACCAUUUAAGUCACUAGUAUGCAUUUCAAGUCAUUAUACUUAACCAUAUUUUCAAGUAACUACACUUAACUAUUUUCAAGUCACUACAAUUAAUCAUUCAUUUCAAGUCACUAUACUUAACCACUUUCAAGUAACUAAUUCACAUUUCAAGUAAUUACACUUAACCAUUUUCAAGUCACUAGUACACAUUUCAAGUCACUAUACUUAACCAUAUUUUCAAGUAACUACACUUAACUAUUUUGAAGUCACUAGUACACAUUUCAAGACAUUACACUUAACCAUUUUAAAGUCACUAGUAUACAUUUCAAGACACUACAUUUAAUUAUUUUCAAGUCACAAGUUUACAAUUUCAAGUCACUAAUUCACUUCUCAAGUGACCACACUUUACUAAAUUCAAAACACAAGUUAACCUUUCAAGUACCUAAACUUAAACGUUUUCAAGUGACCACACUUUAGCAAAUUCAAAACACAAGUUCACCUUUCAAGUAACUAAACUUAAAACAUUUUCGAGUUACUAAAUCACUUCUCAAGUGACCACACUUUAGUAAAUUCAAAACACAAGUUCACAUUUCAAUUACCUACAUUUAAAUAUUUUCAAGUCACUAUUUCACUACUCAAGUGACCACACUUUAGUAAAUUUAAAACAUAAGUUCACCUUUCAAGUACCUAAACUUAAUUAUUUUAGAGUUACUAAAUCACUUCUCAAGUGACCACACUUUAGUAAAUUUAAAACAUAAGUUCACCUUUCAAGUACCUAAACUUAAUUAUUUUCGAGUUACUAAAUCACUUCUCAAGUGACCACACUUUACUAAAUUCAAAACACAAGUUCACAUUUCAAGUACCUAAACUUAAAACAUUUUCGAGUUACUAAAUCACUUCUCAAGUGACCACACUUUAGUAAAUUCGAAACACAAGUUUACAUUUCAAGUACCUACAUUUGAAUAUUUUGAAGUCAAUAAUUCACUUCUCAAGUGACCACACUUUACUAAAUUCAAAACACAAGUUAACCUUUCAAGUACCUAAACUUAAACGUUUUCAAGUCACUAUUUCACUUCUCAAGGAGUUACUAAAUCACUUCUCAAGUGACCACACUUUAGUAAAUUCGAAAUACAAGUUUACAUUUCAAUUACCUACACUUGAACAUUUUGAAGUCAAUAAUUCACUUCUCAAGUGACCACACUUUAGUAAAUUCAAAACACAAGUUCACCUUUUAAGUAUCUAAACUUAAUUAUUUUCGAGUUACUAAAUCACUCCUCAAGUUACCACACUUUUGCAAAUUCAAAACACAAGUUCACAUUUCAAGUACCUAAACUUAAACAUUUUCAAGUCACUAUUUCACUUUCGAAACACAAAUUUACAUUUCAAGUACCUACACUUGAACAUUUUGAAGUCAAUAAUUCACUUUCAAGUGACCAAACAUUACUAAAUCCAAAACACAAGUUCAUAUAUCAAGUAUGUACACCUAAACAUUUCAAGUCACUAAUUCACUUCACAAGUGACCAAACUUAACUAAAUAUAGCCUUAACAUUAAAAAAUACAACAACAACAACAUGCCCAGUAUAUUCUCACCAAGUGGGGUCUGAGAAGGGCAAGUAUACGCAGUUCUAUAUCACUACCUUAGAUGUGAGAUAGAGAGACUGUUUCCGAUAGAGCCCGGCUCACAAUAAAAUAAUAACCUCAGCAGCAGACCAUAUUAUAAACCUGAGAACCAAAUAGCUUACCAAAACACUGAAAUAUUGAAGUCUUUAUUUAGAAAUAUUGAAGUGUUCAUUUAGAAUAUAGGAUGUUUGCUAAUGGACUUAUAAUGCCAAAACACAUGCAAGCUACUGUUAACCUAUUAUGAGAGAAAUAUACAUUAUAUUAAAAAAUAUCAAUAUACACGAGGAAAUAACCUAAAAAGUCAAUCAUUGAUCAUGUGUUACUUUGCAAUCAACAAAAGGAAAAGAAGAAACAAAAUUCUGCCAUUUAUUAAUGAUGUAUAAAUAAAAUCUCAAAAUCAAAAGCACAAAAGAAAAAGAUAAACUUCAGCAUCUUUAAGCAGAC